rfam:Schistosoma margrebowiei strain Zambia genome assembly, scaffold: SMRZ_scaffold0001293
AGCUUUCUGAAUCCGUGCUGAGAUUUCGUCAGACACCAACCCAUUAGGGCCAAUGAGACUUCCAAGAUCAGUGAAGUU